AGUUGAGAGAGGGUUCAAGGGAUCUUAGACUUAGAUUUAGAUAUGAUGUAUGCUGGGAAAAAGAAGAAGAUGCGAAAAAAAUCAUUAAAAAUGCUUAGAAUGAUGGUACUGCGGAUAUUAUGGGAAAGUUUAAGAAGGUGGGUGAUGCCCUUGGUCUUAGGCAAUAUAAACGGUACAAAAAUAUGAGCAACCAAAUUGGUGCUUUGAAAUAAAAAAAUUAAUAGCAUCAUUGAUGGCCCUGGGAGAUUGUGCAAGGG
rnacentral:lncRNA from 1 species